CAAUAGCGUAUAUUAAAGUUGUUGCAGUUAAAAAGCUCGUAGUUGGAUUUCUGAUCGAGACAUCAGGUCGGGUCCGAGAGGAUCAUGUACUUUGAUUUUGUUUUGAUCAUCCUUGGGGAGAGCAUUUCUGGCAUUCAGUUGUCGGGAUUGGGAUCCUCAUCGUUUACUGUGAAAAAAUUAGAGUGUUCAAAGCAGGCCUCGGCCUCUGAAUACAUUAGCAUGGAAUAAUAAGAUAGGACUUUGGUGGUCUAUUUUGUUGGUUUGCACGCCAAAGUAAUGAUUAAUAGGGAUAGUUGGGGGUAUUCGUAUUCAAUUGUCAGAGGUGAAAUUCUUGAAUUUAUGGAAGACGAACUACUGCGAAAGCAUUUACCAAGGAUGUUUUCAUUAA
rnacentral:rRNA from 1 species